rnacentral:rRNA from 1 species
AACGAACGCUGGCGGCAUGCCUAACACAUGCAAGUCGAACGAUUGCCUUCGGGUGAUAGUGGCGCACGGGUGCGUAACGCGUGGGAAUCUGCCUUUAUGUUCGGAAUAACAGCUGGAAAUGGCUGCUAAUACCUGAUGAUAAUGCGAGAUCAAAGAUUGAUCGCCUGAGGAUGAGCUCGCGUUGGAUUAGGUGGUUGGUUGGGUAAAGGCCUGCCCAGCCGGCGAUGCAUAGCUGGUCUGAGAGGAUGAUUAGCCACACUGGGACUGAGACACGGACCAGUCUGCGACGCAGGGGAGCAGUAGGGUGUAUUAGGGGCGGAGGGCAAAUCUAGUCCAGCAAUGCGGGGGAAGUGAUGCAGGCGCUAGGAUUGUGAAGCUCUUUUACACGAGGAGUUAGUGACGGUACCGGGUGAAUAAGCCCCGGCUAACUCCGUG